rnacentral:rRNA from 1 species
UUGGCGGACGGGUGAGUAACGCGUGGGUAACCUGCCUUGUACUGGGGGACAACAGUUGGAAACGACUGCUAAUACCGCAUAAGCGCACAGCUUCGCAUGAAGCAGUGUGAAAAACUCCGGUGGUACAAGAUGGACCCGCGUCUGAUUAGGUAGUUGGUGAGGUAACGGCCCACCAAGCCGACGAUCAGUAGCCGACCUGAGAGGGUGACCGGCCACAUUGGGACUGAGACACGGCCCAA